rnacentral:lncRNA from 1 species
UGUUGGUACACACAAUUUAGUUUUAAUGGAAGACUACUAAUCAUAUACUAAAUGUCACAUUUUCAAGUUUUAUUUUAGUGGAUAAUUACUCAUCAAUUGAGGUGCUCCUGAUUUGGAGGAAGAUUCACAAAACAGAAUUUAAAAAAAAAACGAAAAAAAUCGUUUCUCUCCCCAAUCUCAUGUAUCUCCACGAACUUUGUUUACUUUGAAAGUUGUUGACCUACAAAUUAAAGUAUUGCAUGUUGAUGUUGAAUCAUCUACAGCAAACAUAAUAAUGUUUAAAUUUAACAAAUAAAAAUUUAUAAUUAGUGCACGAACUCUGAGAAUGAUUUAAAUAACCAGUGAAGGAUAUCCCUGCUUCUGCAUAGUGUGGUAUUCCAACAAUGACGUCAUAAUAAAAUAUAAUGUAGGUUGGAUAUAUUUAGAAUAUCUCGUCAUACUGAUUUUUCCAGAUUGUAAAAGAAACGUAAAUAGUGUAAAAGAGAGCUCAAAAUACGAUAAUUUCGCUAGAAACAGAAGGGAAAUGUGUAGAAAAGUGUUUAAAGUCAAUCGAUUCAUUUGUGUGUUUCCUUCUCAUCAAUCUCAGAAAGAUUUGUUGGGGGUUUUUCACACUAUAAAAACAAAAUGAAUGAUGUGAGGGAAUGUCACUCUGGUCAACCCCAUAGGGGAUUGACAG